rnacentral:misc_RNA from 1 species
GGGAGUCCCAAAGAGUAUUGCCAGUGAUAGAGAUGGCCGGUUUGUGGGCUCAUUCUGGUCAGAACUCUUUCGUCUCUUAGGUUCGAGAUUGGAUGUCUCCACUAGCUUUCAUCCUCAAACGGAUGGCCAGACUGAAAGAUUUAAUGGGUUGCUGGAAGAAUACUUACGACACUUUGUGAAUGCCAGUCAAAAGAAUUGGGCCUCUUUACUUGAUGUAGCACAAUUCUGUUUCAAUUCCUUGAAGAGCUCUGCUACUAACAAAAGUCCUUUUGAGAUUGUUACAGGACAACAACCAUUGGCACCUCACACAUUAGAUGGUCCUUACAUAGGCCGAAAUCCCAAGGCUUAUCAAUUCACACAGGAGUGAAAACGAAAUGCAGAAAUUGCAAGGGCUCAGUUGGAGAAAACAUCCAAACACAUAAAGAAA